AAAAAAACGUAUGGAAUGAUAAACAUAUGAAUAUAUUGUUUAUUAAAUGAUAUAAAAAAUAUUUAUAAACCGUACCUAUAUACUAAACAAGAAACUCGUUUCCAUUUAUCGUUUGACCGGCAAUUAAUUGCAUUACAUCAUACGCUAGUAAAUUCUUUCGGAAUGUCGUCGAACCGGCACUAACUUUUCCCAUAACGAAGAAAUAUUCGGAUUUAACCACGAUUUUAUCCAAGAUUUUCUUCAAAUUUUACGAUCAAGAUGAUUAAACCCAGUGAUCUAUGCACGAAGAAUGAAGUAUUGAAAGAAUCGGAUUAAAAAUUGACGAUGGUAAGGAGGUUGCUUGACCAUUCCUUUUCCUCGCUAUCAUGCUAAUGAGCAUUUAACAUCGCGCUUUUUACCGAGACCCGUAAAUAUACCGUUAAAGCUGUUUAGAUGGUGCGUUUGUGUCGCGUCUUUCCCACGAAUGUUAUAUCGAAAAAGUUCACCCUCGAACGGACCUUCGACCGACCAUGAGGAUGUCGCAAAGCUCGCUCGAGUUGCGUUCGAAAUCGUUCGAAGUCCCAGAGUCUAAUGUUUCUCAUUCAAUGAAAUUCAAUUAAUUCGUGCAAACGAGAGCCCACUUAGUUAAACGUGAACAUUUCGCUUGGAAUAAACACACGGCAUGCAUGCGCAUAUGCAUAUAUUUUUCUUCAGGCGGAUUCGUAGACUGGCUGGUCGCGGAGCGAAGGGCCGCGUCACGAAGGCAAAGUUAACGGCCCAUAAUUCAUAGCCGACAUAUAAUAAAUAUCGUUACUCCAUCGUGAGCUCACGUAGACACGGGCAACGAGGUUUUACACGCACGUACCCCUCAGUAUAAUACGUGUGUAAGGAUGUAAACGUUUCAUGACUCGAUGCAGGCUUUCCCUGGGAUUACGUGUGCUGAGCUUUCGUCCUUGGCGAAGGUAAUAAAAGUUCCCUUUAACAAUGCACUCGAGCACGGAAUAAAAUAAUAGUUACCCCUUUUGGACGUUUCUUUACCCCCGGGACCAUUGUAUGCCAUAUAUACAUCGAUAGUUUUUUAUUUUCUUCAAAUAGAUCAUCCUUGCCGUCGUUCGUUCAUUUAUCCUUUAAACGAUUUCCACGUUUUCGUUUCUCAUGAAUAUUUAUUUAUGAAAAUGGCGAGGUAUAUUUGUUAUUGGAUGGUCUUGUUCGAAGCAUGAAAUACGCAUCAAUUUCAUGUUCAAGUUCGUUUCACGCUUUCUUGAUCGAAUAAGUAUCUGGUUCUUGAAAACUGCUUAUCUUUAAUUAUGUACAAUUGAAUGAUCUUAAUCGCAUCUGUUGAUUUCAAUCAUUUAUUUGCUUAUGUAAUUGUGUGUUCUUUAUGUUAUUUGAUUUGUCAAGAAGCGUAAUAUAGAAUAUUAUUGGAUUUUGUUAGACGGUUUCGGGUCAUCGAACCUACGAAACAGUACUGUAUCCUUGAGUUAGCCUUCUGCCUCUUGUUUCCUCAACUUCGCGAGCGCGGGCGCGGGCGCACGUGUGCACAGGUAUAAAUAUGCAUCGCUCUUGGUAUUCGUUACAAGACCAAUUAACUCGGAAUAAAUAUUUUUUCAUUCGAAGAAAUAUUUAUUUUACUAUUCUUACACGAACGAUUUACGACCUAGCGUAUUAAUCAUUUUCACACGUAUUUACUUUAAGUAGAUAUUCAUCUGUUGCUUACCACAAUGUCAGUAUGGAAGCAGGAAAAAAUGAAAAACCGCAAAUGUGCUUGUAAACUUGAUUUGCGCGCGAGCGUCAAAAGUGAGCGAGAGAAAAGAAAAAAAUUAAAUAAUACGUGGAGAGGAGCCGAAAAUAAGGUGAAUAAAAAAUAUCUUGCAUGGCCGACCACCGUGGUUUGCGGUUACAAUGUGCAACGAAAAAAGAAUUCUUCGUUUCGUCUUUCUUCCUUCUUAGUUUCGUGUCUGGAUAGUUUUCAGUCCUUCUUCAACUCUUCUCUGUCCUCUUGUUCGUUUUCCUUCCAAGAGACUUCCAAUGUGUGUAGACAGCCGGAUUUAUAUUCAAAUGAAUCGCCGUGGAAGGGUCGACUUAUCAACGUAUCAAACUCGACAAGGCGAAGAAUAGACGAGGGGGAGUGCCAUCCGUCCCGGCGAAGAGGAGGAGGCGCAUAAGGAUGCGCUUACGCAGGAAACGGUGCAUGUCCCGGUGACGUUACAGAAACUUGGAUAAAAAGAAAAAGAAAAGUAAACAACCAUAGCAGAAGAUAAUCACGGAAGGACGGAUGACGCGAUGAGACUGACGAUGAGCCCGAUUAUCCUGUCGUGGGCCACAGCUAGCUGGCUAGGUCCAACCGGAACUACGGCGAUACGAGGCCAACCAUCGAAGGAUUACGAGCUGUCCACGGAAUUCUUCCUGGUACCCAGCGACGUGGCGAUUGACAAGAACGGUUUGGCCAGCGUGGCCAGUGUCAUCAGUGUACCAGCACCGAACAGGACUGUUUCGGUGUUCAAAAUGCCGGGAAAGAAGAGCCCAGAGAUCGAGCCCGAUACUCGACUGUACUCGAGGUCCUUGCUCAGACAACGACCCUGGGCUCUUCCUCUGGCGGCCCUCAGCGCAGCCACGAUGCUCCUCAUGGCUGGCUUCGAGGUUUUCGUACUGCUCAAGGCAAGGGUUACCGCGCCAAACAGACGACAUUUAUUUCUGGGACAAGCUCUACUUCUAGGACUGUUCCUAUUGGCAGGACUCUCAGCAGCAGCGUCCCUUAGUCAGAAUCCUUUAUCAUGUGCCGCAUUUAGAUUAGUUGGUUUACCAGCUGCCCUCGUAUUUGCGGCUCUCUUGGUCAAAUGCGUGUUUCUACUUUCUUUGAACAGCGGUGUCUAUCUGCCAGCACCUUAUCAAGCAUUGGUAUUAGGAUUCGCAGUGCUGGUGCAAGUAGCUAUUAUUGGGCAAUGGUUUUACGGUGAACCACCCACGGUGGUCCAGGUACAAAACACAGGGCCAAUCUCCUCGAGCUCCUGUUGCAAAACUCCUCUCGGACAGAUCGUUGCUUCCCUCGGGUAUCCUGGCGCACUGCUGGUCGCUGUGGCUUGCUUAGCGGUACGAGCCCGGGGCGUUCGAGACAACAACCGGGAAGCGGCAUUUAUCGGGCUGGCUGUUGGUUUAUCGCUUCCGAUUUGGAUAUCAAGCGCGAUCGGCUCGGUGGCAGCUUCAUCGGAGAGCGACAGAGAAGCUUGGCUUGCCUACGGUUUAUUAACUACUUCCCUUCUCGUGUUCCUGACAAUGUUUCUGCCAAAGGGCCGCCAGUUAGCCGCCCUCGGCCGAGAGGCUCCUGCGACCGUGAUCCGUGAUCGAGACGAUGCUCUCAGCUCGCUUCCUGGCAGCGGUUACUCGCCUUCCUUUUUCCACUUCAAACCAGUCGAGGCUUCUUUGAAGAGAAAAAUGCAUUAUCACAGCGGUGAUCGUGUGGCCUUAGUUUCAUCCGCUAUACCUGGAUGCACAGCCUGCAGGCAUGGUGGAAGUCCCAUUUAUUCUGAUGAUGUUCACGGCCCAAUGGAGACGUUUGUAUUGCCACCAGGAAUGUACUUAAGGCCAGAAGACGCAGGAAACUUGUACACAACUUUAUCAGCGAAUCCGAAUGUAUUCUUUCAACGAGCAGCUCAUCCUGGGAUGAUGUACUGAUAAUUUCCCGGAAAUUCUUUCAGACACAAAAGUCCGCGAAUUUGAUAAGAGGACUGCUUUUCUACGUUCUUAUAUUAGAUAACUAUGAAACAACGGAGACUUCGUUUCCUAUUUGUUUGUCUUGUUAUUGUAAAUAAUAUCAUGUACGAGCGUUGCUCGAGACUAUUCAUUUUUCUGCGUCUCGGUUAUGCUCGAUUAUUUCGAUAACAAAUCAAACUGUUGAAGGCGAAUUACGCGAGAAAUUAUAAUAAAGAUUAGAGAUUUACCUGUAUAUGAUACAUUGGAGUGCGAAGAGCGACUCUAACAAGUAUUGCAAAUAUUUCUUCACUUUUAUCGCAAGUUGUUAGUGAAUCAUCAAUACCUGAUUAUCACCUUUUCAUUGUUUUUCUUCCUUAAUCGUCAUUCAGUUCUAAAUGCAAUGUACACAGUAGGAGACAGUGUAUUUUAUUCUUUGUGAGUAAAAUUAACAUUAUUGAUACAAUAAUUAUUAGUGACCAUAAAAUUGAAACAAGAGUAUUGUAGAUAUUUAGGUAUGUAGGUCACUAUUCAACAGUGUAAGUAGUCCUUUUCAUUUUUCUAUUAUGUUACAAAGCCUUACACAAUAUGGUUUAAGAGAUAGAUUGUAAAAUUGUCUACAGUAUUGUUUGAUAAACAUGUUAGGGUAUUAUUCAAACUUACUACGUUACUGUCCAUACAAUGAUUACGCAUUUGCGUAUAUGUAGUAAAUGCGUAAUGUAUUCGGUGACAGUAAACGGCAGGUUGCUUUCUUGACGUCACGUGCCGAGCUUGGUUGGAGGGGAAUCUUACUUUCUUUUCAACUGUCAACAGUAUGGUUCCAUAAGUAGUCGUUUUGCUGCAUUCUGAUGGAAAACAUACAUAACUUUUGUAAUGCAUCGAUUGAAUUAUCUAAAAAUAAUACUUAAAUGCACGUCUACGACUGAGAAAUUCUUGCCAUUCCAUACAAUACUUCUUAACCUGUAAACUGUUGUGACAGAUACUGCACAGUCAGUGGAGUAUAACCUGUGCUCAAAUGCUAAAAAAGUUGCAUAGAUUUUAGUGAAAUCUUUCUAAAUUUAAAUAAU